CUACGGGCUGCUGCAGGCGAGAAAACUUUGCAAUGUGCGAAAGCACGACAAGGUUAAUCCGAGUGGUUUGUGCUAAACGAACCUUUUGACAGUCCUAGAAACACUGUUGAAUAAGGGGUGGGCAAGUUCUGGUGUCAGCCGCCGCGGUAAAACCAGCACCUCAAGUGGUCAGGAUGAUUAUUGGGCCUAAAGCAUCCGUAGCCGGCUCUGUAAGUUUUCGGUUAAAUCUGUACGCUCAACGUACAGGCUGCCGGGAGUACUGCAGAGCUAGGGAGUGGGAGAGGUAGACGGUACUCGGUAGGAAGGGGUAAAAUCCUUUGAUCUAUUGAUGACCACCUGUGGCGAAGGCGGUCUACCAGAACACGUCCGACGGUGAGGGAUGAAAGCUGGGGGAGCAAACCGGAUUAGAUACCCUGGUAGUC
rnacentral:rRNA from 1 species